rnacentral:rRNA from 1 species
GACGGUGGGGGCUAGCGUUGUUCGGAAUUACUGGGCGUAAAGGGCGCGUAGGCGGAUUAGUAAGUUGGGAGUGAAAGCCCGGGGCUUAACCUCGGAACUGCUUUCAAAACUGCUAGUCUUGAGUGAAGUAGGGGAUGAUGAAAUUCCUAGUGUAGAGGUGAAAUUCUUAGAUAUUAGGAGGAACACCGGUGGCGAAGGCGGUCAUCUGGACUUCAACUGACGCUGAGGCGCGAAAGCGUGGGGAGCAAACAGG